UUUACCCUAGAGUGUUUGUCAGCCGGAUUUAAGUCCCUGAGCCGAUAAGCAACACCAAAGGGUUAGUACUUGGUAGCUAUUGAGCAAGCUCGGCUCGUACCGAGAAGCCUGCGGUUACCAUUGCUGAUCCGCCUUGAACCAGCUGGUUCAAGGGCCAAAAUCCGCAACGGCACUCUGGGGUAUCC
rfam:Vibrio anguillarum 775 chromosome I, complete sequence.